rnacentral:lncRNA from 1 species
GAGGGUUCUGUCCCCCACUUGUUGAAUAAUGUAUAGUCCUUCAGUUCAUUCUAGCAGCUUUCUUUUGCAUCUUCAGAAUGCAUAACUGAUGGAACACAUUUGUUCUGUUUAUUGAGAACAUAAUUCUCAAUCAAAUUUGUAACACAAAAACUGUUGCAAGUGCAAAAUUCCCUUUUCUUGAGCAUCCUGCAGUGUUUCUGUUUUUCCCCUCCAUAAAUAUUCCUGCUAGUAAAAUAUUGUGAAGAAACUGAAAGGCAAUGUAUUCACCGUCAGCUGAAAGAGUCAACUGAGGCUUUGUGGGAGCAUUUUAUUUUCCUAAUGCUGGCUUGUGACUGCAGUGAAAGGGCAGCUGUAAGCAUGAGGACUUUGUUCUGCCUGCUGCUCUUCAGCUGCAAAGGGCUUGAUUUCAUGAUGAAACAGGGAAUGAAGAGUAGCACUGGCUAGAUAGCAAGUGUUGAAAGAGAAGCUGUGCUAUUCAUCUUAAUAGCAUGAUCUGCGUAUCUCAGCUGGGCAGAAAAAGGAGAUAUUUUCCCAUUUGUACUAUCAUUUGAAGUCAAGCUUUUUCAGAACAGAUAUUUCAAGUCAAGGGCAGAUGUCAAAGUGGCUCAUCCUAGUGCUGCUUUGUUUUGUGACAGGACAAUCCCCCAUCAGCGUGGAUGCCCCCACCCCACAGGAGCUGGUGGCCUCGGUGCGUCUCGACCAGCACUGACCUGCCCAGGGGAUGCAGCUGCGAUGACUGAAGGUUGGCAAUUAAUGGAGUGAAGUGCUCAAGCACACCCAUCGGCUCUAAAUGGAUGUGUAAUCCUGUAGCUGCUCCCUGUUCAGCAAAGCUCUUCAGCGUGUACUUCAGUCGCAGAAAAAUCCGUGGGUCUCAAACACAUGUUGAGAGUUAAAGGAGAAUUUGGACCUUCCUGUGGAGUUCCAAGCAGCUGGAUGGGGAACAAGAGGAACGCUGUGCAAAGUGUUGGAGGGGUUUGCUGUCACUUCGGAGCAGUGAGCGACUCAGAAGGGCCCCAUCCAGCUGCUUUGCUUGGUUUGCUGUUUGGGUUUGCUCUCAAAUAG